GGUGAACGCCGGCGGCGUGCUUAAGACAUGCAAGUCGAACGCAAGCUUCGGACUGAGUGGCGCACGGGUGAGUAACACGUAACUGACCUACCCCCAAGUCGCGGAUAACUGGCCGAAAGGUCAGCUAAUACGUGAUGUGAUGUCCCCUUUCUGGGGGGCCAUUAAAGGUUUACUGCUUGGGGACGGGGUUGCGUUCCAUCAGCUAGUUGGCGGGGUAAAGGCCCACCAAGGCAACGACGGAUAGCCGGCCUGAGAGGGUGGCCGGCCACAGGGGCACUGAGACACGGGUCCCACUCCUACGGGAGGCAGCAGUUAGGAAUCUUCCACAAUGGGCGAAAGCCUGAUGGAGCGACGCCGCGUGAGGGAUGAAGGUUCUCGGAUCGUAAACCUCUGAAUCAGGGACGAAAGACGCGUAAGCGGGAUGACGGUACCUGAGUAAUAGCACCGGCUAACUCCGUGCCAGCCGCCGCAGUAA
rnacentral:rRNA from 1 species